rnacentral:rRNA from 1 species
UACAGGAGGGGGCUUGCGUUGUUCGGAAUUACUGGGCGUAAAGCGCACGUAGGCGGCUUUGCAAGUUAGAGGUGAAAGCCCGGAGCUCAACCCCGGAACUGCCUUUAAAACUGCAUCGCUUGAAUCCAGGAGAGGUGAGUGGAAUUCCGAGUGUAGAGGUGAAAUUCGUAGAUAUUCGGAAGAACACCAGUGGCGAAGGCGGCUGACUGGACAUGUAUUGACGCUGAGGUGCGAAAGCGUGGGGAGCAAACAGG